rnacentral:misc_RNA from 1 species
GCCAUGUUUGUAACUCUUGAGGUUGUGGAAAUGAAUUUAAGACACUAGAUUCAUUACUUGAUUUUCAUUUUAUUUUUCCUGUGCAUUCUCUCUAGGCCACUUUUGUUAAUGGUAUACACAUUGUACUGCACUAGAUGUGUCAUGAUCACACCCUUGCCGGCACAUCUUCUGUUGAUUUAUUAAUCAAAGGUUAAGUGAGUCUGGUACUGCUAUUUGCUCUUAGCACUUGUUCUCAUUUUUGCCAACUUCUAUUACUCCAAAUAAAAUAUGAAUGAUCCUUCUUAUUCUUGUUUAAUUUUAAUUAUCUCUUCCUUCUACUUCAUUUCCUUCUUUUCAGAAGGGAUUUGAGCAUGCAAUGAUACAUCAUCACAAAGGUUUUAGUAAAUUCUUAUAAUGAAUAUGGCAGGUUUUGAUUAAUAGGGUAAAUUACUUUUUAGUCCUUGUGUUCCACCAUUUAUUAACACUU